AUUCUUUGGAAAUCUCUGUGGUUUUACUUAGAGCCAAUGGUGAAAUUCAGAGCCUGUAGUCAUUGAGGCCUCUGACCACUGUUGUCUCUGGAAUGGGGAGGUGAAACCGGGGCCCUGAUUUAU
ensembl:snoRNA